GUUUUAUACAGUCAGUAGAUCACAUUUGAGCAGAGGCCUGAUUAAGGGAGACAGGGAGACUUGACAAAGUCAGAAGAGCAUCUUAGGGAGAAGGAGCAGCAGAAGCAAAGGAUCUAAAGCAGAAACAUGUUUUUGUCUUCUCAAGAAGAGCAAAGGAAAAGUGUCCUUGGAUAUUUUUUUGCUUUCUUAAAAGUCAUCUGCUUCUUUUUUUAUAUAUUUUUAAAAUUGUUUUAAGUUCUCAGAAGCCUGCAAAAUGUAUCGGGGCAAUGGAAUGGAGAACUUACCCUCCAUCCACAACAAGGCUUGGAACUGGAGAUUUCCCUCACAGCGGUAGCUUGGUACCUGGCUGCCUCUAUGGAUUCCAGCAUUUGUCCCAGUACGAUCUUAUAUGGAAAGAAGUGAUCAAAAAAGCAUCCAGGAUAUGGUAAGCAGAAUGAGGCAUAGAGUCUUGCUAAGAGAAUUUUACAAUCUGUUAUGCAUGAUUGAGUAUCGCAUUUAUUCCUAAACUACUUUCUGCCAUUAUUACUCGCUAUAAACUUUUUCCCAAAGUGCAUAUAUUUAAAAUUUAUUUACAUGUGUUUUCCUUAAACACUUAAGCCCUCUUACAUUUAAGCUCUUGAAGCAAUGCACUGACUCAAUAGAUAGAAAUACUCAUUCAUUACAAAGAAAUAUGUUUUAGAUUCUAAAAAAAUUCGUGGAAUUUCUGGUGCCAUUCAAAUAAAGGAGGUAAGUUUCUAAGAUGCA
rnacentral:lncRNA from 12 species